AUUGAACGCUGGCGGCAUGCCUUACACAUGCAAGUCGAACGGUAACGGGCCUUCGGGUGCCGACGAGUGGCGAACGGGUGAGUAAUACAUCGGAACGUGCCCGAUCGUGGGGGAUAACGAGGCGAAAGCUUUGCUAAUACCGCAUACGAUCUACGGAUGAAAGCAGGGGACCGCAAGGCCUUGCGCGGACGGAGCGGCCGAUGGCAGAUUAGGUAGUUGGUGGGAUAAACGCUUACCAAGCCGACGAUCUGUAGCUGGUCUGAGAGGAUGAUCAGCCACACUGGGACUGAGACACGGCCCAGACUCCCACGGGAGGCAGCAGUGGGGAAUUUUGGACAAUGGGCGCAAGCCUGAUCCAGCCAUGCCGCGUGCAGGAUGAAGGCCUUCGGGUUGUAAACUGCUUUUGUACGGAACGAAAAGCCUUCUUUUAAUACAGGAGGGUCAUGACGGUACCGUAAGAAUAAGCACCGGCUAACUACGUG
rnacentral:rRNA from 1 species